AUGAAUUUGCCAUCCAGUCUGCAGCUGAGUCAGAUCCCGUUGUUCCGGAGGGACUUUUCUCUUCUCGAUCAUAGCGCUAUGAUCCCAAUGACACAGGCAGGGCACAGAAUGCACCUGCACAGGCACGUGGCCACCGCCAGAGGGCGAAACGCCGCUUUCAGAACGCGGUGGAUCCGUGGCUCAGCAACUGCGUGGGUCUCAGUGAGGCUCCGGCAACGGUUGCGGCGCAUGCGCAGUGGGAGGGCCGGCUGCCCUCCCAGGGUCCUGGGCUCUGGGAGGGGAGGAAGAGGCCAGGAUGGGAGAGGCAAAAGCAGGACAAAUGAGGCCUUGGGGCAACCAGGUGGCAGAGGGAUCACCUUGAUCUCCUCCCCAGUCCGGUUUUGGCAGACAGGGCCCUACCUCGAUUUCCAAAGAAGGAUGCAAGGACCCGAGCAGAAGGAUUUCAGAGGAGCUUAG
rnacentral:lncRNA from 1 species